AACUGCGAAUGGCUCAUUAUAUCAGUUAUAGUUUAUUUGAUGAAGAAUACUAAUUGGAUAACCGUAGUAAUUCUAGAGCUAAUACAUGUAUAAAGUCUUGUAGACUGCAUUUAUUAGAAUGAAAACCAUAGGUUUCGGCCUAUUCGUGAGUAAUAAUAACUAAUCAUAUCGUAUGCUUAUGUAACGAUGUGUCUUUCAAGUUUCUGCCCUAUCAGCUUUCGAUGGUAGUGUAUUGGACUACCAUGGCAGUAACGGGUAACG
rnacentral:rRNA from 1 species